GCGCCCGGACCACACCAGUCUGGUCCAAAGACUACGUUAUGGGCUCAUCCCAUGAUAUUUAAAUUUAAUUAAUUUGUUAAAGGGGCUUUUAUGUUCAGACCCUUAAGUUGUUUAAUUUUUACAAUUCCGUCCUGACUAUAAAGGAUAGAAUUAGGUAUGAACUUUGCAACAAUUUUAUCAAUAAAAAAAACAAUCCGUUUUGCUGUCCAAUCACCCAGCAACGGCCACCCCGACCUUGGUCGAGUACACCCCCUGUCCGUCUUCGCCUUUUCAUCCAAUCCGUUCCGAUCAAUCCGCUGAUCAGACGCAUCAAGCUUCCUGCCGACCAGCUUAACAGCAUUUCCCGAGAGGACUAAGUCUUGAUUUCAGGAGUAGAUCUCCGCUGCUCGCGCUUAGGAUAUCCUUGAUCUUCGAUCUUGGAUCCGAAGCACCUCAGAUUAUCAGGUCUAUCUGUCCAUUUUUGCAUUCCGGUUAUAUCGGUUGCAUCAUUUGGUGCUUUCAACUUUUCAUUUGAACUCGAUUUUUCAGGAUGACAACAAUCGAUUUGGCAGCUCAUCCAGAUUUCAUUAGGCUGCAAACAUUACAGAUAUCUCAGAUUUCAGACAUGAAUGAAUUUAGGUCAUCAGUGAAAAACAAUUUUUUAGAAUUAAGCAAACAAAUGGCUGAAAUAUGCACUUCAAUCAAGUGUAAACCUCCGGAUAAAAUACAAGUGCUAGACUGCCCAAAAAAAAAUUCAGAGCACUCUAAUUACCUAUCUGUGGUGGACCUGGACAAACCAAAAUAUGCAGCAACGCGCGGUAAUAGAUAAUCCAGAUUAUAUACCGGCUAAACACAUCAAGGUGGAGAUGCCUAGAUUCGAUGGCAAAGAGGCAGAGGAAUGGAUUUUUUCUAUGAGAAGGUAUUUCAUAUUUAAUAAAAUACCCGAGGACCAAAAACUUCUGAUAGUAUUCUUUCACUUAGAUGGGAUAGCUAGGAAAUGGUUCGCUUGGAUGGAGGCUAGCAAUAUGUUGACAGAUUGGAAGAACUUUGUAGAAGCUGUGGUCAGAAAAUUUACAAGCAUACAUUAUUCCUUACCAGGAGGCAAAUUGAGCAAACUAUGCCAGGAUGGGACAGUAUCUGAGUACCAAGCUAAAUUUCAGGAAUUAGGCACAAGAGUGUUGGGGUUACCUGAAUAUUUCGUGCUAGAAUUGUAUAUAUCGGGCUUAAAGGAAGAAAUUCAGAUUGAGGUGUUGAGAGAUAAACCCUCAGACAUUCAUGAGGCUUUUGAUUUAUCAUUGCUAAUUGAAUCUCAAACAAGUGGAUCCCGGGUGCUGAAUCACAAACCAGCAAGUUCAAAUUAUUUAAAAGGGAGUUCAUUCAUACCCAAGGCAGACUUUACAACCACCAAAUUGGGAGAACCAGCUCCAAAUUCAGUCCCAAAGAGUCUACCAGUUUUCAAGAGACUAUCUCCUUCUGAAAGAAGAGAGAGAACAUCUAAAGGCCUUUGCUUCAACUGUGAUGAUAAAUUUGUGCCUGGCCACAAGUGCAAAGGAAAGAUGUUCAGAUUGUCUGCUGAUGAAUCGUGUCUGUGGGAGGUGGAAGAUACAGAGGAACACCAAAAUGAGGAGGAGAUAGAGGUGAUUGUCCCAGAGGGGCAGACUGAAAUCAGUUUUUAUGCUUUUGAGGGUCACAUUAAUGCUAACACUAUUAGGCUGGAUGGAUAAAUUAAAUUUCAGUCUGUGAGUGUGCUAGUUGACACUGGGUCUACACACAAUUUUAUGCAAGUGGAGGUCGCACAAGCACUAAAAUUAACCAUUCACCUCAUCAUACCAUUCAAAGUCUCAACAGGUAGUGGGGAGAAACUAGUUUGUGACAAAGUGUGCAGGAAUGUUGAAAUCAGAAUUCAGGGCACUGCAAUACAAAUGGACAUAUUUUUAUUACCAAUGGCUGGUGCCAACAUGGUAAUUGGCAUACAAGGUCUGAAAACCUUAGGGGCUGUCACUUUUGAUUUCUCCAGUCUACAAAUGGAAUUUUGGUGGAGGAGCAAAAAGGUUUCUUGGCAUGGAUCACCAUGGAUUUCUGAAGAUCCAUUUACCAUAGGACAACUGAAAUCACUACAAGCUUCAACUCAAGAGGCUUAUCUUUGCUACAUUGAGGAAGUUAAAGAUCAGACCUCUGUUGUAAGUUCUGAAAUUUUUGAAAUUACAGAAGUAGUGCAACAUUUUGCAGAUGUUUUUGAGACACCUGGUGGACUGCCACCCCAGAGAGAGAGGGACCAACCAGGAGCACAACCUGUUAGCGUCAGACCUUACAAGUACCCCCAGUUUCAAAAGAAUGAGAUUGAAAGAUUGGUUUCUGAGAUGCUAGCUCAGAACAUUGUAAAACAUAGCACUAGCCCUUACUCAUCUCCAGUGCUACUUGUGAAGAAAAAGGAUGGUGGGUACAGGUUAUGUGUGGACUACAGAGCCCUGAACGCAUUGACCAUAAAAGAUAAAUUUCCUAUACCUACUGUUGAUGAGUUACUAGGUGAACUGAGGGGGCCAGUAAUAUUUUCUAAACUGGAUCUCAGGUCAGGAUUUCACCAAAUCAGAGUUCACCCAAAGCAUACGGAGAAAACUGCAUUUAGAACCCAUCAAGGACAUUUUGAGUUUUUAGUGAUGUCAUUUGGGCUUACUAAUGCCCCAGCUACGUUUCAGUCAGUCAUGAAUGUUGUGUUUGAAAAAUAUCUGAGGAAAUUUGUUUUAAUAUUUUUUGAUGACAUCUUGGUGUUUAGUGCUUCUCUAGAUGAUCAUAUUCAGCACCUCAAGCUGGUUUUUGAGACUCUUAGAGCAAAUCAGCUCUUGGCCAAGCUUUCUAAGUGCUCUUUUAGGCAGAAAUCUAUUGGGUUCUUGGAACAUAUAAUUGAGUCAGAUGGAGUUCACCCUGAUCCUGAAAAGGUGAAGGCCAUGGUGGAUUGGGCUGUUCCCAAAACAUUAAAAAAAUUGAGAGGAUUUUUGGGCUUGACUGGUUAUUACAGAAGAUUUGUGAAAGGGUAUGCCCAAAUUGCUGCACCUAUGACUGACUUACUGAAGAAAGACAGUUUCGCUUGGACAGAGAAAACCACUAGGAGUUUUGAAAAACUUAAAACAGCCAUGGUGUCUGCUCCAGUUUUGGGAUUUCCAGAUUUUUCUAAACAGUUUACUAUUGAGACAGAUGCAUGCAAAAAUAGGGUGGGAGCUGUACUUAUCCAAGAAUGUCACCCUAUAUCUUUCUAUAGUUGUAAAAUUUCAGGAAAGAUGAGUGAUGUCUCCAUCUACGUGAAGGAGAUGUAUGCUAUUACCCAAGUUGUGGGUAAAUGGAGGCAUUACCUAUUGGGGUCUCACUUCAUCAUAAGGACUGAUCACAAGAGCUUAAAGAACUUGCUAACUCAAAUUAUACAAACCCCAGAACAACAAGUGUUUCUUUGCAAGCUCUUAGGGUUUGAUUUUUCAAUUAUCUACAAGCCCGGGAGAGAAAAUAUUGUGGCAGAUGCACUAUCUAGAUCUCUAGAAGAGGAUGAGGAAGAAAUUAUUUUUUCUAGCAAUUCUGAAGGCUCUCCAGGUUCCCUACUAGCAUUUUCAGCACUAGUCUAUUCUAUUUUUGAUGAAUUAAAGGAGGAAAAUGAAAAAAAUAUGGAAGUACAGAAAAUGAUCAGCAAGUAUGAAAAUGGAGGACAAGAUUAUGAUGGCUUCUUGGUCAGAAAUGUGAUAUUAUAUUUCAAAGGCAGGUAUUUUGUCAAUGAUAAUUCUAGCUUGAUUUUUAAAAUCUUAGAAAAUUUCCAUGAUUCCCAUAUGGGAGGGCAUGCUGGAGUUCACAAGACUUGGAAGAGAAUAGUCAAGCAUUUUUAUUGGCUUAGAAUGGGGAAAACAAUUAAAGAAUAUGUGCCAACUGCCUACUAUGCCAACAAAUGAAGCCAAUGAACCAAAGGCCCUCUGGCCUUCUAAUGCCAUUACCCAUACCCUCAAAGGUUUGGCAAGAUGUGAGUAUGGAUUUUAUUGUUGAAUUACCUAAAGUUGAAGGUUAUUCAGUUAUAAUGGUGGUGGUAGAUAGACUCACUAAAUAUGCUCAUUUCAGUCCUCUUCCCUCAAAUUUUAAUGCAUCCAAAGUGGCUGAAAUUUUCACCAAGUAUAUCAUUAAACUACAUGGGAUACCAGCCACCAUAGUAUCAGACAGAGACAAGGUGUUUACUUCUAAAUUUUGAAAGGAACUCCAUAAGCUCAGUGGGACUAAGCUCCAUUUUUCUUCAGCAUACCACCCCCAAUCUGAUGGACAAACGGAGGUAGUAAACAGAAUUCUUGAGAUGUAUUUGAGAAGUUAUUGUCAUGAAAAACCAAGAAAUUGGUUGUCCAUACUACCUUGGGCAGAAUUAUGGUAUAAUUCUAGUUUUCACUCAUCUUUGGGAAUGACACCAUUCAAGGCAUUGUAUGGAAAGGAAUCUAAUGAAAUUCCAUCUUAUGAACAAGGUGGCUCGCAAGUGGAGGCAGUUGACAUCACAUUAAAAAUCAGAGAAGAAACUCUAUCUACUAUCAAGAAAAAUUUAGAGGCAGCCCAAUCUAGAAUGAAAAAACAGGCCGAUAAGAAAAGGAUGGAAGUGAUGUUCCAAGAAGGUGAUUGGGUAUUGGUAAAACUAAAACCCUAUAGGCAGAAUUCUAUGGCCAAGAGAAUGCAUAACAAGCUAGGGAUGAAGUAUUUUGGUCCCUAUGAGAUAAUUAAAAAGAUAAAUCCAGUGGCAUACAAGUUAAAGUUACCUGAAGGAAGCCGGAUUCAUCCUUCUUUUCAUGUGUCAAAGCUCAAGAAAUUUUGUGGUCCAAUACCAAGUCAACCUGCAAAUUCAAAGGAGCCACUAUUAGCAAUUAAUAAUCAACCCAUAAUGUUUCCUAUUGCUAUUUUAGACCGCAGGACGAUUUGGCAAGGAAGGAAGGCUUUGGAGCAGAUUUUGCUGCUAUGGAAUGGAGCCCUGGCCGAGGACUCAUCGUGGGAGGCAGUGGAAGACGUGAGGGAGAUGUACCCGUCGAUCAACCUUGAGGACAAGGUCGUUGUCGGAGAAGGUGGAGAUGAUACGGAGUUGCCGGAGGUUGGAGACGUAACCGGAGAUGUCCUGGAGAACUGCCGACAUGCAGAGAAGGUAGAAGCCGGCGUCCUAAUUUCAUAUUUAG
rnacentral:lncRNA from 1 species